AAUGAUAGAGGUUGCGUGUUUCAUGAGUAAUUGGCCAGAUGUGUUCAGGCACGGCAGAAGGUCAGGGAAAGGGGAAGACGCCGAAAGGAUGCAGAGCCUGAAAACUGUAUGCUUGGGCGCAGGGUGAAGAACUCUGUGACUGUCAUCGUUUAGAUGGGGCGCUAUCGGAA
rnacentral:ncRNA from 1 species